rnacentral:sRNA from 1 species
GCGGAGGAAAAGAAACCAACAGGGAUUGCCUCAGUAACGGCGAGUGAAGCGGCAACAGCUCAAAUUUGAAAUCUGGUCCCCUCUGGGGGCCCGAGUUGUAAUUUGAAGAGGAUGCUUUUGGCGAGGCGCCUUCCGAGUGCCCUGGAACGGGACGCCACAGAGGGUGAGAGCCCCGUAUGGUAGGACGCCGAGCCUCUGUAAAGCUCCUUCGACGAGUCGAGUAGUUUGGGAAUGCUGCUCAAAAUGGGAGGUAAACCCCUUCUAAAGCUAAAUAUUGGCCAGAGACCGAUAGCGCACAAGUAGAGUGAUCGAAAGAUGAAAAGCACUUUGAAAAGAGAGUUAAACAGCACGUGAAAUUGUUGAAAGGGAAGCGCUUGCGACCAGACUUGCGCCCGUCGGAUCAACCGUCCCUCGUGGGCGGCGCACUCCGGCGGGCUCAGGCCAGCAUCAGUUUUCCUGGGGGGAGAAAGGCGGUGGGAAUGUGGCUCUUCGGAGUGUUAUAGCCCGCCGCGUAAUGCCCUCGGGGGGACUGAGGACCGCGCGUAUGCAAGGAUGCUGGCGUAAUGGUCGUCAGCGACCCGUCUUGAAACACGGACCAAGGAGUCGUCCUAAUAUGCGAGUGUACGGGUGUAAAACCCCUGCGCGUAAUGAAAGUGAACGGAGGUGAGAGCUUCGGCGCAUCAUCGACCGAUCCUGAUGUUCUCGGAUGGAUUUGAGUAAGAGCAUAUUGGGCCGGACCCGAAAGAAGGUGAACUAUGCCUGUAUAGGGUGAAGCCAGAGGAAACUCUGGUGGAGGCUCGCAGCGGUUCUGACGUGCAAAUCGAUCGUCAAAUAUGGGCAUGGGGGCGAAAGACUAAUCGAACCUUCUAGUAGCUGGUUCCGCCA